UAGAUAUAUGGACUCCUUCGUUUCC
rnacentral:piRNA from 1 species